GAUGAACGCUGGCGGUCUGCUUAACACCUGCAAGUCGAAUGGAAUCCUUCGGGAUUUAGUGGCGUACGGGAGAGUAACGCGUGAGACACUGCCUUCAGGUUCGGGACAACCGCUGGAGACGGCUGCUAUUACCGGAUGUCCCGAGAGGUCGAGGCUUAGGUGCCUGAAGAUGAGCUCGCGUCUGAUUAGCUAGUAGGAGUGGUAAUGGCACCCCUAGGCGACGAUCAGUAGCUGGUCUGAGAGGAUGAUCAGCCAGACUGGGACUGAGACACGGCACAGAGUCCUACGGGAGGCAGCAGUGGGGAAUUUUCCGCAAUGGGCGCAAGCCUGACGGAGCAAGACCGCGUGAGGGAAGAAGGUCUGUGGAUUGUAAACCUCUUUUGAUGGGGAAGAAGACAGUGACGGUACCCAUCGAAUCAGCCUCGGCUAACUCCGUGCCAGCCGCCGCAGUAA
rnacentral:rRNA from 1 species